CGGGGUUCACCACGUGGUAGGCGCAGGGACCCGGGGUCUGCGGGACGGCAGGAGGGACGCCUUGGUCGGCCCCACUGCCCGCUGACCCCUGACUCCUACCCCUACCUUCCGCGGCCCGCCGGGCGGCCACCCCACCCCUGCAACCUUGCUGAGGUCCUCGAAGAAGCUGCCCACUGCGCUGCGGCCGUAGAGGGACCUGGCUCCGCCCCUCCUGCUCCCAGCACCAGCGCUCCGAGCCUGGCCUCCUUGGAGUCCGUCGCGCUGGCGGGCAACCUGCAGUCCGCGCCACAGAUCCAAACGCCGGCCUCUCUCUUGCCCAGGACAGAAAUGGACGGAUCUGCAGACAAAAGUCGAUUGUACAGAUAAGGGAACAGAGGCAUAAAGGUCUGUGUGCUUAGAAGGCGGUGGGACCGAGAUUCAGAUCCACACUGUCCGGCUUACACACCCCAGGCCCUGGUGAGUCGUGCUGCCAACCUGACAUGAAAUUAAGGCCUUGUUCUGUUGAGACUGCAUUCCAUUGGCUCUUAGGAAGAAUGAACACAUUUCAUAUAUUUAUCGGCCACAGGACUUUUGGUGAACUACCCGCUGGUGUGUUUUUGCCAAUUUUUCUAUUGGCUUUUUGGUAUUUUCCUUAUUGAUUGGUAAUAUAUUUUUCUGUCAUGUACAUUAACUUUUUUGGAUCAUAUGUCCUCCAGAUUUAUUUUUCUUUUUACUCUGUUAUUGGUAAUCUUUUUUUGUACAAAAUAAUUACACUUUUUAAUAGUCUAAUAUGCCAGACUUUUCCAUCUGGGCUUCUAGCUUUCUGGUACAAUAGCCCAAUACUAGAAUACCAUUCUCCUAUGUUUUUAUUCUAGCAUACACACACUCACAUAUAUAUACCUCUACCUAUGAUUUCAAAGUUUUCAUCAUUUGGAAUUUAUUAUUGUGUAUAGUAUGAAGGAAAAAUGCACCUUUACUCUUUCCUCCUCUAAUGCCAUUAAUUUAAAGAUGUCAUUUCCCCAGUUAUUUAAAAUGCUACCUUUGUCACAUACUAAGCACCAUAGAUUUGUUUCUGGACUCUCAA